rnacentral:rRNA from 1 species
UAGGGAAUCUUCCGCAAUGGGCGAAAGCCUGACGGAGCAACGCCGCGUGAGUGAUGAAGGUCUUCGGAUCGUAAAACUCUGUUAUUAGGGAAGAACAAAUGUGUAAGUAACUAUGCACGUCUUGACGGUACCUAAUCAGAAAGCCACGGCUAACUACGUGCCAGCAGCCGCGGUAAUACGUAGGUGGCAAGCGUUAUCCGGAAUUAUUGGGCGUAAAGCGCGCGUAGGCGGUUUUUUAAGUCUGAUGUGAAAGCCCACGGCUCAACCGUGGAGGGUCAUUGGCAACUGGAAAACUUGAGUGCAGAAGAGGAAAGUUGAAUUCCAUGUGUAGCGGUGAAAUGCGCAGAGAUAUGGCGGAACACCAGUGGCGAAGGCGACUUUCUGGUCUGUAACUGACGCUGAUGUGCGAAAGCGUGGGGAUCAAACAGG